GGCCUGUUGGUGAAGUGGUUAACACUCUGGAUUCUCAUUCCAGCAUGCAGGGGUUCGAACCCCCUACAGGCUACCA
rnacentral:tRNA from 2 species